UACGUAGGGUGCAAGCGUUGUCCGGAAUUAUUGGGCGUAAAGAGCUCGUAGGCGGUCUGUCGCGUCUGCUGUGAAAACUCGGGGCUUAACCCCGGGCCUGCAGUGGGUACGGGCAGACUAGAGGUAGGUAGGGGAGAAUGGAAUUCCCGGUGUAGCGGUGAAAUGCGCAGAUAUCGGGAGGAACACCGGUGGCGAAGGCGGUUCUCUGGGCCUUACCUGACGCUGAGGAGCGAAAGCGUGGGGAGCGAACAGGAUUGAGAUACCCGGAGUAGCUCCGAG
rnacentral:rRNA from 1 species